rnacentral:rRNA from 1 species
GACGAACGCUGGCGGCGUGCUUAACACAUGCAAGUCGAACGGAAAGGCCCUGCUUUUGUGGGGUGCUCGAGUGGCGAACGGGUGAGUAACACGUGAGUAACCUGCCCUUGACUUUGGGAUAACUUCAGGAAACUGGGGCUAAUACCGGAUAGGAGCUCCUGCUGCAUGGUGGGGGUUGGAAAGUUUCGGCGGUUGGGGAUGGACGCGCGGCUUAUCAGCUUGUUGGUGGGGUAGUGGCUUACCAAGGCUUUGACGGGUAGCCGGCCUGAGAGGGUGACCGGCCACAUUGGGACUGAGAUACGGCCCAGACGCCUACGGGAGGCAGCAGUGGGGAAUAUUGCACAAUGGGCGGAAGCCUGAUGCAGCAACGCCGCGUGCGGGAUGACGGCCUUCGGGUUGUAAACCGCUUUCGCCUGUGACGAAGCGUGAGUGACGGUAAUGGGUAAAGAAGCACCGGCUAACUACGUG